UACGUAGGGUGCGAGCGUUGUCCGGAAUUACUGGGCGUAAAGAGCUCGUAGGCGGCUUGUCGCGUUGUUCGUGAAAAUUUACCGCUCAACGGUGAACUUGCGGGCGAUACGGGCAGGCUAGAGUACUGCAGGGGAGACUGGAAUUCCUGGUGUAGCGGUGAAAUGCGCAGAUAUCUGGAGGAAUACCGGUGGCGAAGGCGGCAUCCUGGACCAUUACUGACGCUGAGGCGCGAAAGCUAGGGGAGCAAACGGG
rnacentral:rRNA from 1 species